GCUCGACGGUUUCCAAGUGCUCUCAAUCACUGACGCCUGGGCAAGUCCACAUUGCAAUGAAAAGUGGUUAAUAUCGGACAACGGUCUUAAAACGUCGGGCUCUCAAUUGUUUCCUUGAACGGAUUAAUGUGGAAAUUCAGUGGCGACUUUUGGGAAGUGGUACCGACCUACUGACUGACCUGAAAAGAACUGACAGCCUUGCAAACUAUUUUUCUUUCCAUGUUACAGCGGGAAUAACUUGCAGACAAUGGUUAAAUAUGCUCUAAAAUUGCACGAUACACAUACACAACCUGUUUCCGAGCCUGAUGCAUUCUCUGACUAUGUGGCUACACGCAUAGACACUCUCUCCCUCUCUCUCUCUCACACACACACAAACACGUAAACAAAUAAAGUUAAAAUAAUGUACUGGAAAAGUCAGAUCUUCGCUCAACAGUUCAUGAGCCCUUUCUCGGAUGAUUUCGACCCUCCAAACCCCCAGCUGGCUAACGUUGCUUCUUCCUAGUAUUUUAUACCAAGGACAAUUCUCAGAUUAUUAUUUCUUCGGUCCUCCUUCUUCCCACAACCUGCCCCCCUGACUCGAAUAACGCGAAAAUUGCCGCUCCGAUGCAAGAGGCUCCGAAGACAGCAGCUUCAGGAAUUGCGCACCAGCCCUGCGAGGAGCAAUGUGUGGGCUCUCUCAAACGUAAGGGACGACUGGCUGGGGAAAAGGCAGAGCUGCAGCUAUUCACACUUCGUGGGCCGGGAGACUUCUUUCAAAAGAGCCCUGAAGUAUUUAGGAUUUGGGGGAAAACCCUUGUACCGGAAGAAAAUGGCCUAAACACAAUAGGACUCGCCAUUUUCUCCUUCCAAAGCACAAAGCAGCUCCGCGGCUUCAGCACCACACAAAGAAAGCCCGGACCCUCUGAAUUCUCUUACAUUUUCCCCCCACCGUUUCAAAAGCCUUUCCCUCUAAGCGAUCCGCUUUCCCAGGAAUGCUCACACAGAAAUAAAGGAAGAAAGAAAAGAGGGGAGGGGGAGAAAAGCGACUAGCUAAAGAGAGAGAAGACAGUUUUGAUCUUAGUUUAUUUAAAUCAAAUCCUGCCAGGGAAAAGUCACACUCUCACAUGUGCUCUUGAGGGAAAAAAUAAAUAAUAAUAACAAUAAAAAUAAAACCAUCUGGAAAGCUGUUUUGACCACCGCAUUCCUUCAAGCUGGGCGGACUCGCGUUGCGCCACAGAGACUCGAGCAAGACCACGCUGCCUGAGGAUGUGUAUGUACACACACAGGCGCACACACACACACACGCUCCGGAGAAAAAUGUCUUUUCGGGCCGGCUAAACCCACAAUCUGGUGUCGAAAAUGCCCCCGUGCCCCCCGCACCGCCGGGAUCCGCCGGUCCUCCGCGCCCGCGGGGCUCCCGCGGCUCGGCCGCCUCCCCGCGCCGCCCGCUCCCCCUCGCCGGGCUCUGCCUUAUUUAGGUAACUCGGCAGGAGGCUGAUAAAGAGGCGAUGAUAUUAAAAAGACAGAGAGGGAACAACAAAGAAGCAAGCCAAACCCGAGCAACUCAAACCCAAACCGCAGCGGCCUCUCGGCAUCGCUCAGAAAUGCAGCAGGAGAUUUUGUACUUACAGCCAGCGCUAAAGUUCACUUUAAACCGAGGAAACAGGAUACUCUUUUGCUUCCAAUGAUACAAGCAAUCUCCAGAAACAGCACUGCACUAACCUAGUCCUGAGACCAGUUCCUUUGGAAAGACUGUAAUAUGAGUGACAUGGAAAAUUUAAAAAAAUACUGUGAAAUCUAGAGAUGUUUUCAUGUUGUCAUUUCAGAUAUAACCUUCCCUUUCACCAGAUGAUUUUUUUAUAGUUGAAGUACUAGACUGCCUAAACCUAGCCUCUCAAAAUAAUGUUUAAUAUGAAUGUGGUUAAUUGCAUUGAGCUUCUUCAUAUACUGAUUAUCCUCGGUGCAUUAUCAGGGCACUCUGAAAUGCUCUUCGGUGGCAAGAAAAGAACCUUAAUAUAUGGGAAAAAAUGGCUAGUCAUCCUCGAGUAAGAUUUUGUUUUGUAGAGUGCAUGUCAUGGUCCUUUGCAAGCCUGGAAGCAAUGUGAAUCAAACGCCUCGGAAGAAGACCUACGUCGACAAAGGCUCCAUGUACAGCAUGCUCUAAUUAUUAAAGCUCAUUCCCUGAUUUAGGACUCUAUUUUCCUUAGCGAGCCCAUCACCCUGACACGACGCUGCUCAGGAUGUUUGUUCAAAGCUUAUGAAAAUGUAACCCAACUCAUUGCUAGAAGUUGUUGCUAAUUAGUUGAUAAUAAACUUCUCCGGACGGGACACAAAAGUC